UACAGAGGGUGCUAGCGUUAAUCGGAAUUACUGGGCGUAAAGGGUGUGUAGGUGGCUAAAUAAGUUAGAUGUGAAAGGCCUGGGCUUAACCUGGGAAUUGCGUUUAAAACUGUUUAGCUAGAGUAUUGCAGAGGGUAGUAGAAUUUCCAGUGUAGCGGUGAAAUGCGUAGAUAUUGGAAGGAAUACCAGUGGCGAAGGCGACUAUCUGGGCAAAUACUGACACUGAGACACGAAAGCGUGGGGAGCAAACAGG
rnacentral:rRNA from 1 species